rnacentral:rRNA from 1 species
UACGGGGGGGGCAAGCGUUGUUCGGAAUUACUGGGCGUAAAGGGCGCGUAGGCGGCCCUCUAAGUCAGACGUGAAAUCCCACGGCUCAACCGUGGAACUGCGUCUGAUACUGGAGGGCUUGAAUCCGGGAGAGGGAUGUGGAAUUCCAGGUGUAGCGGUGAAAUGCGUAGAUAUCUGGAGGAACACCGGUGGCGAAGGCGG